rnacentral:rRNA from 1 species
GAUGAACGCUGGCGGCGUGCCUAAUACAUGCCAGUCGAGCGAACGGACGAGAAGCUUGCUUCUCUGAUGUUAGCGGCGGACGGGUGAGUAACACGUGGAUAACCUACCUAUAAGACUGGGAUAACUUCGGGAAACCGGAGCUAAUACCGGAUAAUAUUUUGAACCGCAUGGUUCAAAAGUGAAAGACGGUCUUGCUGUCACUUAUAGAUGGAUCCGCGCUGCAUUAGCUGGUUGGUAAGGUAACGGCUUACCAAGGCAACGAUGCAUAGCCGACCUGAGAGGGUGAUCGGCCACACUGGAACUGAGACACGGUCCAGACUCCUACGGGAGGCAGCAGUAGGGAAUCUUCCGCAAUGGGCGAAAGCCUGACGGAGCAACGCCGCGUGAGUGAUGAAGGUCUUCGGAUAGUAAAACUCUGUUAUUAGGGAAGAACAUAUGUGUAAGUAACUGUGCACAUCUUGACGGUACCUGAUCAGAAAGCCACGGCUAACUACGUG